rnacentral:lncRNA from 1 species
GUAUGUUCAUUGCAGCACUAUUAACAGUAACAAAGCUGGGCACAGUGGCUCACCUCACGACUGUAAUCCCAGCACUUUGGGAGGCUGAGGUAGGCGGAUCACCUGAGGUCGGCAGUUUGAGACCAGCCUGACCAACAUGGAGAGACCCCAUCUCUACUAAAAAUACAAAAUUAGCCAGGUGUGGUGGCUCAUGCCUGUAAUCCCAGCUACUUGGGAGGCCAAGGCAGGAGAAUUGCUUGAACCCAGGAGGCAGAGGUUGCAGUGAGCCGAGAUCACACCAUUGCACUCUAGCCUGGUGAAGGAGCAAGACUCCAUCU